rnacentral:rRNA from 1 species
CGUGUAGGCGGCCGAUCAAGUCGGAUGUGAAAUCUCUCGGCUCAACCGAGAAACUGCAUUCGAUACUGGUCGGCUAGAGUGCGAGAGGGGUGAGUGGAACUCCAGGUGUAGCGGUGAAAUGCGUAGAUAUCUGGAGGAACGCCGGUGGCGAAAGCGACUCACUGGCUCGCAACUGACGCUGAGGCGCGAAAGCUAGGGGAGCGAACAGGAUUAGAUACCCUGGUAGUCC